UAAUACGUAGGAGGCGAGCGUUAUCCGGAUUUACUGGGCGUAAAGAGGGCGUAGGCGGCUCUUCAAGUCGGAUGUAAAAUCUCCCGGCUCAACUGGGAGGGACCAUUCGAUACUGCGGGGCUAGAGUGCAGCAGGGGGAGGUGGAAUUCCCGGUGUAGUGGUGAAAUGCGUAGAUAUCGGGAGGAACACCAGUGGCGAAGGCGGCCUCCUGGGCUGUUACUGACGCUGAGGCCCGUAAGCGUGGGGAGCAAACAGGAUUAGAUACCCUGGUAGUCCACGCUGUAAACGAUGGACACUAGGUAUAGGGGGUAUCGACCCCCUCUGUGCCGAAGCUAACGCGUUAAGUGUCCCGCCUGGGGACUACGGUCGCAAGACUA
rnacentral:rRNA from 1 species